AUUACAAGUCAAACCUCUUUAUAACAGCCUCGUUUGUUCCAGAUAUUAUUGGAUGUUAUAGCGAAUUGCUACUAUAGAAAACAUAUAUCGUAACAUAACAUGAAAUUUGGUUCCGAAAAAACCUGGCUUUUAUAGAAGUGUUGUUAUAUAAGCAGACCAAAGACAGAAUACCUGGAGUGCAAGUUUGGCGACGAGCCGAGUGGGGUAGGCAGGGACGUGA
rnacentral:lncRNA from 1 species